GGAUGUGAGGGUGAUCUGGCUGCGACAUCUGCCAUGCAUUGAUCGUCAGGUUGAUUCGGCGGGCCUUGCUGGCUAGGCGGGUGUCUCCUUCCUCCCUCGCUGCUCCAUGUAUGUCCCUCCUGAGGCAGCACGCUCCGUCAACCGUCCCCGACGGAGGAGGACCGGUCUUUGGUCAAGGGUAUACGAGUUGCCGCACUGCCCUGCUAGAGCCUCCAAACAAGCUCUCAAGGUCCAAAUGACACUGGGGGUUUGGGCUUCAACACAGGAAUCUGGGGUGCACAGUGCAACCAA
rnacentral:snRNA from 1 species